UCCUACGGGGCGCAGCAGUGAGGAAUAUUGGUCAAUGGGCGCAGGCCUGAACCAGCCAAGUAGCGUGAAGGAUGACUGCCCUAUGGGUUGUAAACCUCUUUUGUCGGGGAGCAAAGAGAGUCACGUGUGACUCAUUGAGAGUACCCGAAGAAAAAGCAUCGGCUAACUCCGUGCCAGCAGCCGCGGUAAUACGGAGGAUGCGAGCGUUAUCCGGAUUUAUUGGGUUUAAAGGGUGCGCAGGCGGAGGUGCAAGUCAGCGGUCAAAUUGCGGGGCUCAACCCCGUACUGCCGUUGAAACUGCAUCC
rnacentral:rRNA from 1 species